rnacentral:misc_RNA from 1 species
GAUGAAGAAGCAGCGAAAUGCGAUAAGUAAUGUGAAUUGCAGAAUUCAGUGAAUCAUCGAAUCUUUGAACGCACAUUGCGCCCGCCAGUAUUCUGGCGGGCAUGCCUGUCCGAGCGUCAUUUCAACCAUCAAGCCCCGGGCUUGUGUUGGGGACCUGCGUCCGACGCAGGCCCUGAAAACCAGUGGCGGGCUCGCUGUCCACACCGAGCGUAGUAACUAACCUCGCUAUGGAGUGGCGCGGGCGCCUGCCGUAAAACCCCCAAUUUCACAAGGUUGACCUCGGAUCAGGUAGGAAUACCCGCUGAACUUAAGCAUAUCAAUAAGCGGAGGA